UGCCGUCCCCGCGGCUCUGCCCCAUUCACUGCCCGCUGCGUGCCGAGCCGCGCUGCGAGGAAGCGGGUCUGUAACAAAAGAACGGGAGCGUUAUUUGCGGAGAGGAGCUGCUGGGCUCCGUGUGCUGCUGCUUCGUUUGUCCGCCUCCUACCAACGUCGAGGUUUGUGAUGGAGCCCACGGCAGGCUAUUAACUGUAGUGUCACAAGACCGUGAUUAAAAGCCGAGGAGUGGCACUGUGCUAUUUCCUGCAGCCCUGCGCUGCAGUUAAAGCAUAGCACAGCCCGGCAGGGUGCGGGUCCUGGAGUGGCAUUCAAUCUGUCAUCCUUCUCUCUGGCCUCAGCGCAAAAUAACGGCCCUAGGGGCUCAAUAGAAGCCAUGCAGUGCAGAUCCUUCGCCAUCCCCGCAGCUGACCCGAUGGUUGGAGCAGUUGGUGCUCGGUUUUCUCAGUGAACGGCAGCCUGAGAGAGCCGGGUGCUUCUUAGGGCUUGGAACUGAAGCAGGCCUUGAUGUAAAGGCAUGGUGCACUCAGCCCUCAGAGCUGCCAGCAGCGCCGCAGAAGUGAUGGAAGUGCACACCUGGUACCUCCAAGGAGGCAGUGACUCAGAGCUCGGGAGGGCUAUGAGAUUAGAGUAACAAAUUCUGGAAGCAGAAGGCUGUGGUACCGCUCGUCUGUGGGGAUGUGUGGCUGUGGUUUGGCUUUGAGGAGCCGUUCGGUGCUUUUAAGCUUCCCCAGAGAGAGUUCCCAUCCCUAAAGAACCCGUGGUGGGAGCGAUGGAGCUGCUCCCUGGGAAUGAGGCUUACUGAGCAGGGCGGAUCGAAGGGUGAAGUGGGCUGCUGGCAUUGUGGUCGUGUUAUGCUGUGGAUGUUUUUGGCUGUUGUUCAGAUGCUGAUGAGGCAGGAGUAAUGAGGGUGGUUGGGAAGUGAGCGUGUGUUCUUUGAUACACGUGUGGAACUCAACACUGUGGCUUAGCUAUGGCUGGGAAGGGAGCCUCUCUGCACCCACUACUUUGUAACAGCAAAGUAACACCAUCUCUUUCUAGAAAAAACAGAUCUCAGUCAGCUAAUGUCUUCAAAACCUUCUUUUUCUGUAAGCAAAUGAGCCCGUUCCUAGUUAGGGAAUUGAGUCACAUGCUGUUGCUUUUUUGUUUGGUUGUUUUUUUACACUAAUAUGUGCUUUGAUAGUCUCUGCUUCUAUUGCUUCUGCUGAGCCUGUGAUCAGAUGGAGCAGCUUUGAAAUUGGAGAGAGUUUGAUCCUGAGCUAUCCCUGAUGGCCUUGGCAAUUGGAUGGCAUCAGUCUUGGAGUGCUGGGGAUGCACUGAAGGAGCAGGUCUCUGUACUGUGUGCAGCUGUGCCCCAUAGAGCAUCCAGGUGUGAAGGCACUUGGUGUUAGUGCUUGGCCUCCUCCAUACCGUCUGCUUAAUGCUGUCCUGAAACCACAUCGACAGCACUGUGGAAGGGUUCUCUUUGUAAGCUUCACUCUCAUCAGUCCUCCUCCUUCCCUCUCUGACUGUCCCCCCACCCCACAUCCUAAUCUGAAAAAACAGAUCACCCACAACUUGUUUCUUCUGACCCAAUGGCAAAGCUUGCCAUGGUCAGUGUGAAGUGGAGUUUACUUGAGGUUGAUCCUGUGACUGGGGCACGUUUUGUCAGCAUCUACUUGGUGAGGAACCACUGCUUGCUCCUGAAAGCCUGGAACUCUGUGAUGUGUAUUUCUAAAGCAUCAUAGAUCCUUCUGUCUGUUCUCGUUCAGGACCCCAGGAGCAGAGCGUCCCUUCUCAUUGCAUCCAUGUAGCUUGGUACCUUGUGCUGCAUCAGACCCUCAAUGCAGAGCUUCUGGAGGCUUAAAAAUGGCUCUUUGGAUCAGAGGUUUGAAUUUCAGCUGCCGCCUGAAUUUCUCACGAGGUUGAUGCUGAAGCUGCUGAGGCUGUGGGUCUCAGGGAGCACCAAGUCAACUGUGCUCCCUGCAAAGAGUGGAUCCAUCCCUUGGGAGCAUUACUCGUGCCAUGCAGCUGGAUGUUGCCAUCCACAGGCUGGGAGAUUUUGGAACUGAGGUGGAGUUAAAGUUGUCUUUCUCUUAGGCAGUUUCCAAAGGCCUCGAGUUGGCAUUUGUGCUGCUCUUUGGAGGAGGAUGUUCCCAGCUUUCUCCCUCAAGCUUCCCAGAGCCAACCCUGUGCAGCCUGGUGCUCAUCACAGCAGGACCCAUUGCCUGCUGAGUGCUGUGUCACAGCCUUUCUGGAACAGCUGGCUGUCAGCACGCUUACCCCACAGCAAUCCUGCCCAGCUCGUUGGGUGGCUUGCUGCAGGAGGCAGCAGUGUGACUCACGUGGAGUUGCUGCACGUUGCUUCCCUGGGUGCCGUGCAGCAGGAAGAGGCCAAGGCAGGCUCUGCCACUCUGAUGUGGAUGCCUUGUGUGCUCUUUGCUGAUCCUUGCAUGGCUGCAUGCUGCUUUGGGAGAGGGCUGCCCCCUCACCUGCUGCUGCUCCUGUAGGAGAGCUGACAUGUGUGCUCAGGACAGAAUGGAGUGUGUUUCUGAACAGAUGGCUUUGAUUGGAAGGGGGAUAGAUAGAUGUUGUUUCUCUCAGUUCACGUUAAGCUAUCCUCCUCAUGGCUUCCUUACGUCUGCUCUGCUCUCAGGCAGUGCUUGGAGCAGCACUGAUGGCCCCGUCCUGUUGUGACCACCCCUCUGCAAUGUGACUGUGUCCCUUGUUUCCCCCUUAUUAAGUGCUGUUUACCCGCAGAUAACAUUGUUUCCUCAGCAGCCACCUCCUUGGAUGUGCUCUCCUCUGCUGCCCUUUGUGCAGUUGUCUGAAUUCGGAGCUCCCACUGCUGUUGUCUCCACCCUUUCUCUCCAGCAGUUGCUUUCUCACCCCCAGCAGUUCACCCCAACCCUCAGCCACCAGCGUGUGACCAGGAACAUCACCAGGGGCUGCCACAAACAUCUGUUCUACCUGUGCAGCUUAUGGCACGGCAGGACUCCGUACAUCUCUGGCAGCACUUCGCCUUCCCCUCCUCAGCACAUGACAAUCAGUUCUGGCUGUGGCAGUGCUGGGUAAGAGCUCUGGCUGGGGCAGUGCUGCUGCAGCGACAGGUCUCUGUAGUAACUGGAAUCGUGGUUUAUUUUGAGGUUUUAGCACUCUGAUGGGAGCUGUGUUGAAGCAAAGCAUUCUAAAUGGAGACUUGCUGUUGUCUUCCUGUGUGGGAUCAGCCUGCAGGGAAAGCUCCAGGUCAGCCGUGCUGCUGGAAAUCUCUUCCAGCUAUGGAAGAGUGGGGAGUGUGUGUCAGCCAGCUCAGUGUGUCUGCCAGCGCCUGCACCCGUGUCCUUCAGGGAUGGUUCUUUCCGUGUCAUCAGGGAUGCAAAACUGAUCUCUUUGGAGCAGGCUGUGGCUUGGAAACAAUUCCAGCAUCUCUUGUUUCUCUCUCCUUUAUUUCUUUUCCUUUGUUGUAUGAUGAUAAUAAUUCUGGGUAUACUGCAUUGAUCCUCUGUCUCUGUUUGUUGUGGGACUGCCCGGCUGUGGCUUUAGAGCCCAAACAGGCCCAAGUCCCAAGCAGGUCUGGAUGUCUUCUGCUGUCUUUUAAGUCAGGAUAGGGGGUGCUCAGUGCAUUGGGUGAUGUGUGUCACCUUCCAGGUGCCCUCCUGGGGAGGGGAGCUGAGCACUUCCUGACCCUGAAUAAGAGCUUUGCUGGUAGGGGACUCUGAACCUCAAGCCCCCAGGGUGAUGUGAGCCUAGCACUGUAAAUCUGGAAUGGCUAGAAUGCUCUUCUAAUGAAUUGAGUUAAAGGUUUCUCUUUGUUGUUUUUAGGGUUGUUUCUUCUGUUUCCAUUUUACCCGAUUCCAAGAUGAGUCUGCUUCUGGUGGUGUCUAUUUUUCCUAUCUAAACCACAUAGGAAAGCCCACAUAAAAUUUCCUUCUCUGCCCCAUCUCCCUCAGCUCCAGUUUCCAGCUGUUCCCUGGCACGCUCUCCUCAGCAGCUCCUUCCUUCCCUCCCUCUCACUGAAGAGCAGAGCAUCUCUCUGUGCACUCACAAACAGCUGCACUACGAGCUUAGCUUUCCGAGCCAAGGAUUUACAGCCUUGCUUUGCUCUCACCUCCUUGCCCUCUGACAGCCCAGGCCUGGCAAGCAGGGUGCUGUAUUAUGCUGUACAGCUUUCUAUUUGAUUUGGGGCUGAGGAGGAGCAAGGAAGCUCUGAUAUGAGAUCUCAGCUCGCCUGCACUGUUGUGCUGAGAGCCCCAUCCCAUGGGGAGCAUCAGAGGUCUGUGUGAUCCUUCAGGGGCUGCAGUAGCACUAAGGAUGUGAUGGCAGUUCUGGGACUGAGUUUGCUCACAUGGGGGUCCUGCUGAUGAGGAGUGCUCCCUUGCACAUGGCUGUACCCUUCUGGACUUCUUCUCUCCCUCCCCAUUAGGACAGCAGGCAGCACUGCUGUGUGGAGUUGCAGUGGGUCCAUUCAACAGGCAGAACCUGCAUCAGGCACAGGAGCAGGGAGUCCAUGCAUGUGGUGUCAGGAGGAGCCCGCAUUAAGCACUGGGAGGGCAGUGUACUGAAGGUAUUUCACACAAUAACUUAGCUCUUUUUGAAUGAUUUUUUGUUGUUGUUUUUGUCUCCGAGUGCAUCUUGAUGUUUGUAUGGUGACCCAGCAACAAUGCUGAUUGUUAUGGUGCCCUGCCAUGCAUCCUCACUGGCUGCCUUUGUUUCUGGGUGCAGCUGUAUGGUUUUUAUGGACAUCAGAACUGCCGAGGAUGAAGAAACUCUUUUGUUUGUAGAAGCUUCUGUGCAUAAAUUCAAUCUUGAUGUUCUUCUAAAGAACAAAUCCACUUAACAUUCCCAGUUCUGGACUGUCUUGUGGCUGUUUCAGCAGCUUGCCGGGUGCCCACUGAAAUGGCUGGAGUUCCAGGAACAGAUUUGCUUCUGGCUCCAAAUACAGAUUUCAGAUACAGAUGUCAUCCUCAGCGUGGAACAGUUCCUCUGUGGGUAUCCAGUGCUGCCAAAGCACCGCUGGGACGCGGAGCAGCAGCUGGCAGGCGAAGCACUCAGCGGGGCUGGGCAUCCUGCAGGGAGUGAAUACACAUUUUGCUUUUGGCUGGCUAUAAACAAGCAAUUUCUGGUCUGAGGUGGCUACCUUGGAGUCGAUAGCUGGAUGCUUGGGAACAAAGCACUUGGGAAACAUUCUUGUGAGUCUCCCAUCCCAGCUGUGAUGCGCUCAGAGCUGAGUCGCUUCGCAUCGGGUUGUGCAGCAGGAGUAGGGCUUGGAUUGCUGCUGUGAGGAGGAGGUGAUGAAGGCUGGAGCAAAUGGCCCCUUGUGCCCUGCGUGGAGCAGCGCUGAUCAGGGUGUUUGCUGGGAGCAGAGACCUCUGGUGCCUGUUCUGAAGGUGGCUUCCCAUCACACCACGCUGCAGCACAGCAGUAGGAGUGCUGCUUUGUGGCCUUCUGCUCCACCCCUGCAGUCACCAGCCUGGGCUGUUCUGCAGCACUGCUGUUCAGGAACUUUAUCACCGUGCUGACAGCAACAAAGCAAUGCUGCGAGGUGUGUUAGUGCCAAAAGGCACAGACCUGAGAUGAAGCCAUCUUUGUUCAAAGCCAUAUGUUUUGUUGACCCCCGUUGCUGAUGAAGAUAAUUUGUUGUUUGUCUAUGUGAGGAGUAGGUAAUUGAAUGCAUGACUCAAGCUGAUGAGCUCAUGUGUUGUUUGGAAGGGAUUUUUCUGUGGCUUACAGCUCUGAGCUGACGAGCUCAAUUGCUGCUGUUAAUGUGCUGUUGCACACGCUUUUUAAGGUCGGAUGACUUCAUCACUCGUUAUUUGGACAGAUUGAAAUUCGCUUUUUUUUCAUCAGCUACUGCUUAUGUGCUCAUACCACCUUUCUCUGAAUGAUUUAACACCACUUACAGGCAGCACAGAGUCGGUUCAGCGCUGGUCCCGGCGCUGCCUUCUGCCCAGGAGAGGUUUGGUGAUAAACUCCUGGUGCUCAGCCUUCCCAGCGGGGCCCAAGCCCUGUUGUGAGCAGGUCUCAUCCCCAUGGAAGCUCAGCCAGGCGAGGUGUGCUGGCUGGAGCUGCAUGUCUGCUGUGUGCUGCACCCGCCCGGGUGAGAUGUUAAAACCCAGCCACGUCAGUCAUGGCUGGGAAACUUCUUGUUAACAUCUGUAACACCCAGGGACUUGGCAGGGUAGAGGUUGUCUUUGAGCACUUCUCAGUUAUUGCUGACGUUUGGGAUAAAUGAGUUUCUGCUCUGGCUGCUUCAGGCUGUGCUGAAGAGCACAGGAAUGCCGUUAUGAACGGAGCCCCUCAGACGUGCUGCUCGCUGCGCUGCUUUUUGCUUAGCUUUAAUAACCUGCUUGUCUCUUCUCUGUUCGUCUACCUGAAAGGUUUGCACAAGCUCUGCGUGGAGGAGAGGGAGGGAGCUUCCAGCAGCUUGUCUGGCACACACAGGGAAGCAUUUCCAGCACAGAGGCUGACCGCACCUCCCAGGUGUGUGCGGGUGCGUUGGGUGCUUUCCAUCAGCAUUUUUGCCUGUGUUGGUCUCAGGUCGGUGAGCUCACUUUAUCCUGCUGUCAGAUGAAACUGACAGCAUUUCUAACCAUCUCUCUGGCUGUACCGGAACACAGAGCAGUGCCAAGCUUGGUUCUGCUCCCCAGCAGCAUCUGGGCUGGGACUGAAAACUUCAGUAUUAAUUAUGGUGUUCUUGCUGGGCUCCACAGUAUUAUUUUGAUGUUGUAGGUUACCAACCGAUGGUAUUAUCCCUCUCUGCUUAGCUGCACCUCUCAAAGUCCUUCUGAUUAAGAAACUUUACUGAAGAUUUUUUUCUGAACAUCUUUCUAAAGAAGAGAACAAAAGAUGACUUGUUCCAUUGGCUCGCCCUGAAGUGUUUCUUGACGUGUACGUCUUUAUGUGAUUGCUCUCACUGCCACAAGUGCAGCUGCAUGGGAUGCUGUGACUGCUGAUCCUUGCUCGUCUGUUGAGUACGGAUUUCCCUGACUCUCGUGCCUCACAUUUGCUGCAGUCUGCAGUGCACCACGCUGACUGCGAGGUGUUCGUUGCUGCCCCGCUGUGAGGAGAAACAAGCAUCUUGUUGAACGCGGCGUGUUGCAACCGGCUCCGGUUACCUGAGGACACUGAAAUUGGAGGCGGCUGAAUCUUGGAAGUGUUCUCUAUUUCAGGUUCCAGCUUUGCUUUUCUUCCUUCCUUUUUCUCUGGCCAGGGUGGCACUAAGCCUGUUCUCUCUGCUCCCCAGUGGGGACUAAGGCCUGCUCUCUGGGGGUUUGCUGCUCGGUGCGUGCCGCGUUGUUCUCCAGCAGCACGCAGGGUGAGUGGGGAAGGAGGGCAGGGGCGUGCGGGCUGCCAGGUCAGGCUGGAGUCCUUGCAGAGGUGAAUUCAGGUGUCCCUGGAGUUGCUGCUGUAGGGGAGUGGUGGGGCUUGAGAAGGAUCCCAUCCCUCCCGCCAUCAGAUGCUGGCAACAUGAGCCUAUUUACCUUAGUAAAUACCUGGUAAUGUGGACCCAGGCCUUCCUCUGGACUCGGCAGAACUGAUGAUCUGUAAGAGAACAGAAUGUCUGGGUGGAAACUGAAUGUUUUCAGUUAGACAGCUGUGGCACAUUGGCUUUGGUUGUACUGAUGGCCAAGCUGCCCUGUCUCAAAUAGAAGUGGGCUCCUGGCCUUGCUCUGAGGUCCCUCUCCUGGGGCUGCAUCUCAGCGUCGUGUCCCCACUCAGUGCCCAGGGCUGCCCCAUCCCAGUGCAGAAUCCAGCACUGCUCCUGUUAUUCCUCACGUGGCUGCCAAUGCACAUCCCUCUAAUCUGUUAAGAUCUCUCUGCAAUGCUUUUCCUCCCUCCAGGGAAGCAGCAGCUCUUCCCAGUUCAGUGUCUUCUGCAAACUGACUCAGUGUGUCUUCCAGCCCUGGAUCCAAGUUGAAGAAGACAUCAAAGAGAACUGGCCCCAAAACUGAGCCCUGCAAACCCCAGCAAUGACUGAAGCAGCAAAAGGGUUGCUCUGAUUUGCACCCACUGUAAGGGAUAAGCAGAGUGGCACUAGGACAGAAACUAUCUGUAACUGUGCCAGUGUCUCACUUGAACACACCACAUUUUUUCCUUUCCUUUGGGAAGUGAUUUUUGGAUGUCACCUGGAAUGCCCUUUGCUCCUGAUUCAUAUAUGAACUACAUUUGUGUUUGGCUGUUUGUUUUGAGACAUGACAGGCAGAGGCUGGAGCUGCUGCCAGCCUGGUGCAGUGCUGAUAUGGAGAAAAGUCCUGGGGACCCUGUGGGCAGUUUGUUGCAAUGGGGGCAGCUCUCCCUCUCCUCUGCCAUGGCAGCUCCCUGUGUGUUUGCCCACCUGUAGGGCAAACAUGUUGGCUUAUCAGAGCCUCUCUCAGGGAGGAUGGUACUCAGAGACCUAAAAUGCACUGUUGGCUCUGGCAGCUGCCACGCUGCCUCUGUUGAAGGAGUGCUGGACUCGUUUUCAUCCCAACACCUGCUGAGGAUUGUCUCAGAAAUCCAAAGGAGAAAAUAAUCUGUGUGCUGUUCUGAUUGUUUUGUAGGAAAAUUGAGAAGAGUUUGUGCAGAUCCUGCUUUGUACGGACAGGAGAUGUGUGCAGGAGAUUGUGGCAGGGUCAGCCUUGAGAGCCUACAACUGCAAAACUCCUUUUUUCUAGAGCAGGAACUUACAUAAAGAACCACUGUGCUUACAGCAGUACAGAGCAUUGGUCGCUUCAACAUUUGAAGCAAUUUUCUCAAUAUCUUCAUCAUUUGAAGGGAAGAUCUCAAGAACUGCUUGAAAUACAGCUCGAGAGCAGCAUGAAGUACACAUCCCUGUUAUCUCUCUGCCUUUUCCAGUGACUUCUCAGCCCCUGUGCCUGCUUGUCCUGCUCUGACUUUGGCUUUUGGCAUGCUGCUGCUGUGCAGAGGGUGCCCAGUGCUCAGUGAUG